UACGAAGGGGGCUAGCGUUGUUCGGAAUUACUGGGCGUAAAGGGCGCGUAGGCGGCACGGCAAGUCGGGAGUGAAAGCCCGGGGCUCAACCCCGGAACGUCUUUCGAAACUGCCGAGCUAGAGUGCGGAAGGGGCAACUGGAAUUCCCAGUGUAGCGGUGAAAUGCGUAGAUAUUGGGAAGAACACCUGAGGCGAAGGCGGGUUGCUGGGCCGACACUGACGCUGAGGCGCGAAAGCCAGGGGAGCGAACGGG
rnacentral:rRNA from 1 species